ensembl:lncRNA
AUCGAGGCACGGGAAAAUAAUGUCUCCAAUCAGGAAGCUGCCGUCAGGCUGUAAUUCUCCCCUGCUGCGGCAUGUCGUGUCACAUAGACGGCAAGUGCACAUGAUUCUGAACAAGAAGGACAGUGAACUGAGUUUAGUUUUUCAAUUAAGGGUGGAUGAUUUUGACUAUGCUGUGUUUGUAAAUUCUGGAACUCUGAAGUGUUUUGGCUGCGGGAAAGAAGGGCAUUUAGUCAGAGCUUGCCCGGAAAUAGCCCCCAAAAAUCGGCCUAAACCUGCUGAGGCGAAAGCAGGCCCCUCCAAAUAUGUGGACGCUGUAAAACAGCGGGCUGCAAGCAUUGAGAUCACAGAAGAAAAUGUUGUAACUGCAAAGCAGUGUGGGGAAAAUCCAGAAAUGGCUUUUCUAUUAUGUGUUGACAAUGGAAAAAAUGAGUGUGGUGUUCAGGAGAAGGGGGACAAUGUUACAGAACCAGCAGAGAGUGUAGAGGCUGGGCCCAGCUCUGCUGCAGUAGAGCAGAGUGACAGUGAGGGUGGGUUGAUGGAGGAGGAAGACAGUAGGUGUAAGGCUCCCCUUCUUAAAAGGAAACAGACCAGCGAAACCUGUGGCUCUAAAGCCAAGAAAACAGCAGAAGGGGAGGAGAAGGAGGUGCAGACAGAGUCUAGUGGUGAAGAGACAGAGUCCAGUGAGGAGGAGGAGGAGAUGGUGGACUGUGUAACAGACUGCCAGCCCCUCACUGACUCACCACUGGCUUCUGCUCCACAGCUGGAUGGGAUGUACUCAGUACAUAGUAUACAGGUGUUGUUGAAAAGAACAAAAAAUAUGAAGAAUGUCCAAUAUGAUAAACAUUUUGCAGACAAAAAAAUGCUGUUGCUAUCUGUAAAAUCUCAGAUGAACAUCAGAGGGGAGGGAGGUUUCACUGAGAAGGAGUAUUACAGAUUGAAAAUAAUUGGGCAGAGACUAGCAAAAGAGCUAAGCAAUGUUGAGGAUGCAGAGGGUAUAUAAAGCAGUGUGCCUACUGUCGCUCAUAACGUCAGCUUGAACGAGUCACUUUGCACUGUCAAUGUGUUGUUGUUGUUUUUGUUGUU